rnacentral:lncRNA from 1 species
GUUAGAAAUUAGAUUGAUGCAUCUUGGGAUUUUGUGUAUGAACCCAGCCCUUCGCCCUAGAUUGGAUAGGAUGGUAAGAGUUCACUUGUCCAUCAAUCUUCCGAAGCUGGAUUAUUCAUCAUUGCCCAAAAUGAAGUUGAAAUCACAAGAUAAGCUUUCUAAAUAGUCCGGUGACUUACGUUGAGCUUGGGUCAAAAAGUAUAA